rnacentral:lncRNA from 10 species
UCUGAAUACCAGCAUUGCCCUAAUUCUUCAAGCCCCUGACCACACAGAGUGACACAACGAAACCCAGAUGCAGGUGCCUACAGGGUAAGUCGGUGCUCUUGAUCAUGAAGCUGCAUACUUACCUGGACCAGUUUGCAGGAGAAGCUGAAAGAGGAGAUCUGGCAGGAGCUAGAGGAGUUUGGGGCCUGACUGCUACUCCAACAACAAGAUAAACCAGCAAUUCAGCAACAACAUGCAUAAGCUGCAAUAGAUCCUGAACUCACACUCACCUUUCUAGGACAAACAGGGUGUUGCUCCCCUGUCAUUUAAAAAAUCAUUUACAAAUUUUAUUCGUGGCCAAUUCUCACUUGGAAAGAUAUAUGGAAGACAAAUGUGGCAAAGGGAGUUUCAGUUAAGCCAAAUUGAAACAAGAGAAAGCAACAUUUCAUUUAAUUUUGCAACUUUAAUGUAAUUGUGCUCUAAAUUGUGGACUUUGGAUUAAUAGCAAAAUUCCAAGUUGUGGAAUAUUAUCUUCUGGUUUUGAAUACAUCCUAGCACUUUAUCAUAUUCUAUAUACUAACAUUAUAUAGUGCUUAUUAUAGAGAGUGGGUUUAGUAGUCCCUAAUAUUCAUGUCUUUAUAAAAGCUGAAUUUGUAAUAUUCUUUCAAGUAUCAUUGACAAUUUCCUGUACCAAGCAAAAUGAUAUCAUGAUAAUUAAAAUUAAAAUUCUGACAUCUGGAACAGGAAGCUCAGUUAAGCAAAAUUUAUUCGGAAAAAAGAUGUCUUACCAGGGCUGUGUAUUAGACUUUAUUUUAGGUUAAGAGAAAAAUAUGAUUUAUAGGUUUCCUGAGACUAAAUCGUUAACACAAUAUUACAUACUAUAAGCAGAUAAGUUCCAAGCACAAUCCUUGGCAUAGUUUAAGGAGUCUAACAAAGAAAGAAGGAAUGGAAUUAAUGGUGAUGUUGAUGAAGAGGGAGGUUGUGAUGAUGGUGAUGUGAGAACACAACGAGCUGUAAUAAAUAAAGAAAAAUCAUCCACUACUGUUUUUAAGGCAUAAAUACACAGUAGGUCUUAUAGAAAACUGGAAAAGUCACCUAUUAAUCGGCAACUCUAAUGAUCAAUUUAUCUUGUAACCUUAAGGUGUGAUCUGUUCUUCAAAUUUAUCUUACUCUCUCCACUCGUGCUCCUUUGUGAGUUAUCAUACCCUUUCAUUAGCUCACCUAUCAAAUGUCAGUGACCUCUGUUCGAUUAAGGACUAGAAUAGAAUAGAAUAGAAUAGAAUAGAACAGAACAGAACAGAACAGAACAGAACAGAACAGAACAGAACAGAACAGAACAGAACAGAACAAUUUGGCUUUCAGGCUUACAUGGCAAAAAGCAUACCAUCUUUGGGUAGAAAGAAAUACCUUUAUUCAGCAAAGACCUAUAAACAUAGCAGACUUUUUGGUGUUGCCGACUGAGCAGUAUAGACCUGUAUCUGUUUUAGAUGAUUAUGUUACUCUUGCCCAUAAUGGUCCAAAAUAGGAACUUUUUUUAAAAAAGAUGUUGAGAGAGGCGAGGGAUUUGCAGGAUGCGCCACAGAGCCGUUUUGUUUUGAAAGUGUAAAAGAAGUAUAAUACAUAAUUUCUGAUUAGUUUUUUUAAAACUACAAAAUGUUGUUUUUUCCACUAUUCUUCUGAGGGAUGUUCACCAAUAUUCUGGUUUUCCUCUGGACACAUGGUUGAAUUGCACUUCCUCACUCCCCUCCCCAUAGCCUACCAUGCUUGCAGUUAGUUAGGCACAACCAAUGACCUGCUGUAGCCAACGAAAUGAGAGCAGAAGUGAAGUGUUCACUUAUGUUUGUCCUACUUCUUGCAAUAAGUAAUUUGAGGCAGUUGUGACCUUGGCCAUGGAUAUGGUGGUACAUCAUUUGCACUGUUAAGAUUAUGACAAAAACAUUGCACAUAUUCAAUUUAUUUCAUAUUAAAAACAAAUAAAAUAUUUUGAACUCACCAUAAAAUUGCUUGAUUAAAACAUGGCUACUAUGUACAUUCUAAAUAUACUUCUCUUUAUUGGAAAAAUAUUAAUUAAAAUAAUUAUUACUUUAACAGAAACUCUAAGUGAUUAGUGCUUCAUAAUGAUUGCCCACAGAUUUAGAAUACUUAUUAAUUCUAUAAUAAUGUAGUCUUAAGAAUUAUAUGUGUUUAACUUUUUCAGGCUAAAAUAAUGUGUUACGUAUAAAGAUUUAAUUGUAGGCACAUGACUCUGAACUCCCUUUUCCCAAGUGUAGAGAUUGUUGUGACAAGUCCUGAAAUGGAGCCUCCAUCAGCCUGAGUGACUACAAUGAGCUGAAAUCAGUGCUGCUCCAUUUGGACAUUCAAGAUGAGUGAGAUAAAAAAAAAAAAUUGUUUUGUGUUAAGCCACUGAGAAUAGGGUGGUGUUUGUUACUGCAGCCUGACAUAGCCCACCCUGACAAGUACAGAUGGCGGCCUGUAGUGCUUACAUACCAAAAAAGAAUAAUCUUAGAAUGCACAGUGUAAAGCCACUCAGUCACUUGUCAUAAAAUUUAUACGAUGAGAAAGAGGCCACACAGAUCCGCAGAUGGUGGACCAAACUCCUUGGUUGGUUGGUAUUGGGAGAACAAGUGUUAGGCCUGGGGAGAAUGUGUGGGUAUCCAUCUGUCUUUGGCCAAGUGAACACGCUAGUGUUCCAGGUCUUUAGGCAAAAGCAGAAAAGAGAUGACAGCUUUCAGCUCAACAGAUAACUUAAGAUGCCAAACUUUUCUGCUGUGUGCCUUAUUUUUUUGAAGAAGCCCAGAGAUCCCCAGUUCAACAAGUAACUAUAUAUAAUAAGCAUGAACUUAUGUUUGCCC